AAACAUUUCAAUGAGAAUAAAACUUUCUUCUUUUCUCAAGCCAAAGUUACCAUCUCUUGAUGAGAAUAAAUGUUGAACAAAGGUAGAUUACUUUGAAGUGGAUUUGGUUUGUUUUGGCUGCUAUUUGGUGUCCUUGUAGGUUCGUGGAGAUUACUCUGAAGAUGUUGGCACAUAGGUAUUUUUACUUGAAAAAGUGAUAUUUACUCUUUCCAUCCCUGUAUAUAAGCAUCUUUUGCUUUUCUCACUUUUAUUAAGAAAAGUUGGAGUAUGUACUAUGUAGUAAGUUUUGCGUUUUCAUAUUCCAAGACACUUAAUGAGGGGACAAAUUUUUAGUUAAAUAAGUGAUUAUAUUUAGGGACAUGGAAGUUUAUUUGAAAAGAGGAGGUAAGGGAAGGAAAUUUCACUUUGCUCUUCUCUUUUCAUUGUUUUAUAUACUUGCAUAUUUGUUCUUUGCAGAACUCUAUAUUGAACAUAAUAGUUUGCUCGAAUUCGGCUUUGUUACAUUCUAAUAGCGCCGUAUUGCAAAAUAAGAACUAUUUGUUCGAAUUCUGCUAUGCAAUAGCACUGAUAUUUUACCACACUAGUACUGAAGAUGUUUAAAUCAAAUAUAAAUUUAACAUUUUGAAUUGCACAUCACAGUAGUUGACAUCCUUGAAAACAAAGAGAUCAAAGUUUAACUUCACUUGAGAGAAUACUGAACAUAACAACAUCUAUACUUUUUCCCUUAAAGAACAGAUAUUUUCUGAGAACACCUUCCCUUUCAAAACCAGCCUUCUCCAACACCCUUUGAGAAGCCACAUUUUCCACAUCAACUCGAGCCUCAAGCCUCUCCAAGUAUGGAAACUCCUUAAAUGCAGCAUCAACCACUUUUUUUACAACCAUAGUGGCAAUCCCUUUGCCCCAAUACAUGGAGCUCAAAGAAUAGCCAAGUUGAGCAGAUUUGUCCCGGCAUCUAUCCGAACACACCUGGAACUCGGUACACCCAAUUGCUUGAUCGCGAAGGCAAAUUGCUCUGAACCAUAGAGAUUUGCUUGCUAUGUUUUGGAUGAAGUCAAUGCCUUUUUCUUUAUUUGUAUAAGGUUCCCAAGUGCAAUACUUGGCCACUUUUGCAUCACUAGUCCACAACAUAACAUCAUCAAGAUCAGAAAGACUAAUGGGUCGAAGAGAGAUUUGGCUCAAGUCAACAACAGAAUACUCUUCAUUAGCAUCUGAUUUGGAAUAGGUAGCAGUUUCUUCCAUUAUGGGAGAUUUGGCUUUGAUGUAUCCAAGGAUUGAUUAUAAUUAACUAGGAAAGGAAACUUUUGAGUUUAGAGGAAAGGAAACUACAUAGUAAAAAGCUGCUAACUGCUAUGAUUGAUUAUGAAGAAUAGGUGCUCA
rnacentral:lncRNA from 1 species